rnacentral:tmRNA from 1 species
GGGGGUGAACGGUUUCGACUUCGGAUGCCGUAGUAGGGGAAGCGGGCCGAGGAUGGUAGCGCUGACCUCGCAAACCAUGCGCUGCAAUAAACACAAGCGCCAAUUCAAAGCGCAACCACUUCGCGCUCGCUGCCUAAGCGAGUAAGCGGAGUUGUCAGCCCGGGAGUGCCUUCGGCCCGGUAACUGGCAUCAGCGAGAAGGCUCACCUGCCUGACCGGUCGCGGGUCAGGUCGGGGAAAGCGCACAGCGACUGGGUCCGUCGGCAGCUCGCCUGUAGGACUGCCGGGACCGAGUAAGGCGUAAUACGGGCUGCGCCCGGAGAAGCCCUGCUGUGACACCGAAGGACCCGGGUUCGAUUCCCGGCACCUCCACGA